UUCCUCAGCCUCCUGACGGAAGCUGGAAAGGAUUUUGCUCUGAUAUUUAAAAUGGGAACCUUGUUAAGCUCCUAGAGAUAAAUUUCGCAAUAUUGUGGAGUUUUUAACUCUCAGACUUGGCACUGAGCCUCCAGCAAUUCAUCAAUUAUGGUACAGAACUUCCUACCUUGGCACUGGUUCCUCCGUGGUUCUGUUCCUGAGUUUCUGCUCUGACUAAUUCAUGAAAAAAUACUGCUGUUCCGUAACAUCCUUUGAGACUAAGUUGGUGCUAGCAUGUGGAAAUACAGUUCUCUCUGUGUAUUAACUUCGAUCCUAUGACACUGUGCCUUGCAGUCUGUGGGAUCUUAGUUCCCUGACCAGGGAUUGAACCUGCUCCCUCAGCAAUGAGAUCGUGGAGUCCUAACCACUGGACCACCAGGGAAUUUGGUAACAGUAACCUCUUGAUGUUCUGACUACCUGGUUUCUGUUGCAAAAAUCCUUAUGUAUCCUGGCUCCUCCCUAAUCUCUUUGAAGCAGUCCCUCAGAGCUGUCUGAGAGGCUGUCUUCUAGGCUGAAGUCCUCAGUUUUGUCUGCCAAAUAAAACAUAAUUCUCAACUUUUAGAGGUUGUACAUUUUUUUUUCAGUCCACAGUUUGACAGACAGUGAAGGGGCCCAGAGCAGACUCCUAUCCUUCACCUGAACUCUACAAGGAACUGGAGCGUUGGUACUGGCAGAGGCCUUUCCUCCUCGGAAGUCCAGAUGAAUUUGGCUGUUUGGCUGACAGGGUCUUGAUGCUCUGGCCUGGUGUCAGGCCUGUGACUCCAAGGUGGCAGAGCCGAGUUCAGGACAUUGGACCACCAGAGACCUCCUGGCCCCACGUAAUAUCAAUCGGUGAGAGCUCUCCCAGAGAUCUCCAUCUCAAUGCUAAGACCCAACAAGCUCCAGUGCUGGACAACCCAUGCCAAACAACUAGCAAGACAGGAACACAACCCCACCCAUUAGCAGAGAGGCUGCCUAAAAUCAUAAUAAGGUCACAGACACCCCAAAACACACUACCAAACGUGGUCCUGCCCACCAGAAAGACAAGAUCCAGCCUCAUCCAUCAGAACACAGGCACCAGUCCCCUCCACCAGGAAGGCUAAACAACCCACUGAACCAACCUUAGCCACUGGGGGCAGACACCAAAAACAACAAGAAGUAUGAACCUGCAGCCUGUGAAAAGGAAACCCCAAACACAGUAAGUUAACCAAAAUGAGAAGAUAGAGAAAUACACAGCAGAUGAAAGAGCAAGGUAAAAACCCACCGGACCAAACAAAUGAAGAGGAAAUAGGCAGUCUACCUGAAAAGGAAUUCAGAGUAAUGAUAGUAAAGAUGAUCCAAAAUCUUGGAAAUAGAAUGGUGAAAAUACAAGAAAUGUUUAACAAGGACCUAGAAGAACUAAAGAGUAAACAAACAAUGAUGAACACCACAAUAAACAAAAUUAAAAUUCUCUAGAAGGAAUCAAUAGCAGAAUAACUGAGGGAGAAGACGGAUAAGUGACCUGGAAGAUAAAAUAGUGGAAAUAACUACCACCGAGCAGAAUAAAGAAAAAAGAAUGAAAAGAAUGGAGGACAGUUCCAGAGACCUCUGGAACAACAUUCAAAGCACCAACAUUCGUAUUAUAGGGGUCCCAGAAGAAGAAGAGAAAAAGAAAGUGUCUGAGAAAAUAUUUGAAGAGAUUAUAGUUGAAAACUUCUGUUACAUGGGAAAGGAAAUAAUCAAGUCCAGGAAGUGCAGAGAGGCCCAUACAGGAUAAAUCCAAGGAGAAACACACCAAGACACAUAUUAAUCAAACUAUCAAAAAUUAACAAAGAAAAAAUAUUAAAAGCAGCAAGGGAAAAGCAACAAAUAAUAUACAAGGGAAUCCCCAUAAGGUUAACAGCUGAUCUUUCAGCAGAAACUCUGCAAGCUAGAAGGGAGUGGCAGGACAUAUUUAAAGUGAUGAAAGGGAAAAACCUACAACCAAGACUACUCUACCCAGCAAGGACCUCACUGAGAUUCGACAGAGAAAUUAAAACCUUUAUAGACAAGCAAAAGUUAAGAGGAUUCAGCACCACCAAACCAGCUUUACAAAAAAUGCCAAGGGAACCUCUCUCAGCAGGAAACACAAGAGAAGAAAAAGACUUACAAAAACAAACCCAAAAUAAUUAAGAAAAUGGUAAUACAAAAUUAAUGCACAGAAAUCUCCUGCAUUCCUAUACACUAAUGAAAAAUCUGAAAGAGAAAUUAAGGAAAUACUCCCAUUUACCAUUGCAACAAAAAGAAUAAAAUAUCUAGGAAUAAAACUACCUAAGGAGACAAAAGACCUCUAUGCAGAAAGCUAUAAGACACUGAUGAAAGAAAUUAAAGAUGAUACAAACAGAUGGAGAGAUAUACAAUGUUCUUGGAUUGGAAGAAUCAACAUUGUGAAAGUGACUAUACUACCAGAAGCAAUCUACACAUUCACUGACAUCCCUAUCAAACGACCAAUGGCAUUUUUCACACAACUAGAACAAAAAAAUUCACAGUUUGUAUGGAAACACAAAAGAACCUGAAUAGUCAAAGCAAUCUUGAGAACGAAAAACACAGCUGGAGGAAUCAGGUUCCCUGACUUCAGACUAUACUACAAAGCUACAGUAAUCAAGACAGUAUAGUACUGGCACAAAAACAGAAAUAUAGAUCAAUGGAACAGGAUAGAAAGCGCAGGGAUAAACCCACACACAUAUGGUCACCCUAUCUUUGAUAAAGGAGGCAAGAAUAUACAAUGGAGAAAAGACAGCCUCUUCAAUAAGUGGUGCUGGGAGAACUGGACAGCUACAUGUAAAAGAAUGAAAUUACAACACUCCCUUACACAAUACACAAAAAUAAACUCAAAAUGAACUGAAGAACUAAAUGUAAGACCAGACACUAUAAAAUUCUUAGAGGAAAACAUAGAACACUCUGUGACAUACAACACAGCAAGAUCCUUUUUGACCCACCUCCUAGAGAAAUGGAAAUAAAAACAAAAUAAACAAAUGGGACCUAAUGAAACUUAAAAGCUUUUGCACAGCAAAGGAAACCAUAAACAGGAUGGAAAAGUCAACCCUCAGAAUGGGAAAAAAUAUCCACAAAGGAAACAACUGACAAAGGAUUAACCUCCAAAAUAUACAAGCAGCUCAUGCAGCUCAAUAUGAAGAAAACAAACAUCCCAAUCCAAAAAUGGGCAGAAGACCUAAAUAGACAUUUCUCCAAAGAAGAUAUACAGAUUGCCAGCAAACACAUGAAAGGAUGCUCAACAUCACUAAUCAUUAGAGAAAUGCAAAUCAAAACUACAGUGAGAUAUCACCUCACACCAGUCAGAAUGGCCAUCAUCAAAAAAUCUACAAACAGUAAAUGCUGGAGAGGGUGUGAAGAAAAGGGAACCGUCUUGCACUGUUGGUGGGAAUGUAAAUUGAUACAGCCACUAUGGAGAACAGUAUGGAGGUUCCUUAAAGAACUAAAAAUAGCACUACCAUAUGACCCAGCAAUCCCACUCCUGGGCAUAUACCCUGAGAAGACCAUAAUUCAAAAAGAUGCAUGCACCCCAAUGUUCAUUGCAGCACUAUUUACAAUAGCUAGGACAUAGAAGCAACCGAAGUGUCCUUUGACAGAUGAAUAAAGAUGAUUUGGCAUAUAUACAGAAUGGAAUAUUACUCAGCCAUAAAAAGAAACUGAAUUGACUUAUUUAUAGUGAGGUGAUGGACCUAGAGUCAGUCAUACAGAGUGAAGUCAGAAAAACAAAUACCGUAUGCUAACACAUAUAUAUGGAAUCUAAAAAAAAAAAGGUUCUGAUGAACAUAGGGGCAGGACAGGAAUAAAGACACAGACGUAGGGAAUGGACUUGAGGACACAGGGAGGGGGAAGGGUAAGCUGGGACGAAGUGUGGGAGUAGCAUUGACAUAUAUGGGCUACCAAAUGUAAAAUAGAUAGCUAGUGGGAAGCAGCUGCAUAGCACAGGGAGAUCAGCUCAGUGCCUUGUGACCAUGUAGAGG